rnacentral:rRNA from 1 species
CAGCCGCCGCGGUAAUACGGAGAGUGCAAGCGUUAAUCGGAAUUACUGGGCGUAAAGCGUGCGUAGGCGGUUCGUUAAGUCUGUUGUGAAAGCCCCGGGCUCAACCUGGGAAUGGCAAUGGAUACUGGCGAGCUAGAGUGUGUCAGAGGAUGGUGGAAUUCCCGGUGUAGCAGUGAAAUGCGUAGAGAUCGGAAGGAACAUCUGUGGCGAAGGCGACUAUCUGGGCCAACACUGACACUGAGGCACGAAAGCGUGGGGAGCAAACAGGAUUAGAUACCCGUGUAGUCCCUGUCUCUUAUAC